UCAAAAUGCAUAGAAUUAUUGCUGCGGUUAAAAAGCUCGUAGUUGGAUCUGUGCGACGGGAGUCGGUCCAGCCUAGCGGCUGCGCCACUGACCACCCGCGCUUUGCCGGUCGGUUUUCGCGUCGUGGCUUUCAUCGGCUGCGGCGCGUGGCUGACGAGUUUACUUUGAACAAAUCAGAGUGCUUAACACAGGCGUUUCGCCCGAAUGUUCUUGCAUGGAAUAAUAGAAGAGGAUCGCGGUCCGAUUUUAUUGGUUUUAUGGACUGAGAUAAUGGUUAACAGAGACAAACGGGGGCAUUCGUACCGCUGCGUGAGAGGUGAAAUUCUUGGACCGCAGCGAGACGAACUACAG
rnacentral:rRNA from 1 species